rfam:Biomphalaria glabrata isolate BB02 unplaced genomic scaffold LGTN_random_Scaffold33, whole genome shotgun sequence.
GUGGGCUACGGAGACAUGUACCCGCAGUCCGCCUCCGGGUACUUCAUCGGAUCCUGCUGCGCCGUGGCCGGCCUGCUCAUGAUCGCCUUCACCGUCCCGAUCAUCGUGAGCAAC